rnacentral:rRNA from 1 species
CAUGUAGGCGGAUUAAUAAGUUUGAAGUGAAAUCCUAUAGCUUAACUAUAAAACUGCUUUGAAAACUGUUAAUCUAGAAUGUGGGAGAGGUAGAUGGAAUUUCUGGUGUAGGGGUAAAAUCCGUAGAGAUCAGAAGGAAUACCGAUUGCGAAGGCGAUCUACUGGAACAUUAUUGACGCUGAGAUGCGAAAGCGUGGGGAGCAAACA